GUUGGUGAACCAGCGGAGGGAUCAUUACGAAAGGAGUACUCGUACUCUUAAACCCUAUGUGAACAUACCCUUAGUCAGUUGCUUCGGCGGGAGGCCCCUGGGAGGGGCCCCGGGGCCCGGCCUGAGCCGGGCUCCCGCCGGAGGAGCGCAACCAGAACUCUUGCUGUACCCAGUGGCACGUCCGAGUAAACAAACAAAAACAAGUUAAAACUUUCAACAACGGAUCUCUUGGUUCUG
rnacentral:misc_RNA from 1 species